UAUCCUGCCCACGCGGGAAGGAUGAGAAGCUUCGACCAAGGUUCGAUUCGAGCGUAGCGAGAAAGCGUUGCCGCAGGCAACGACCCGAAGGGCGAAGCGCGCAGCGCUGAGUAAUCCUUCCCCCCCCACCA
rnacentral:sRNA from 1 species